rnacentral:rRNA from 2 species
UUCCGGUUGAUCCUGCCAGACCUGACUGCUAUCGGAUUGAUACUAAGCCAUGCGAGUCAUUGUAGCAAUACAAGGCAGACGGCUCAGUAACGCGUAGUCAACCUAACCUAUGGACGGGAAUAACCUCGGGAAACUGAGAAUAAUGCCCGAUAGAACACUAUAUCUGGAAUGGUUUGUGUUCCAAAUGAUUUAUCGCCGUAGGAUGGGACUGCGGCCUAUCAGUUUGUUGGUGAGGUAAUGGCCCACCAAGACUAUUACAGGUACGGGCUCUGAGAGGAGUAGCCCGGAGAUGGGUACUGAGACACGGACCCAGGCCCUAUGGGGCGCAGCAGGCGAGAAAACUUUGCAAUGUGCGAAAGCACGACAAGGUUAAUCCGAGUGGUUUGUGCUAAACGAACCUUUUGUCGGUCCUAGAAACACCGAUGAAUAAGGGGUGGGCAAGUUCUGGUGUCAGCCGCCGCGGUAAAACCAGCACCUCAAGUGGUCAGGAUGAUUAUUGGGCCUAAAGCAUCCGUAGCCGGCGCUAUAAGUUUUCGGUUAAAUCUGUACGCUCAACGUACAGGCUGCCGGGAAUACUGUAGCGCUAGGGAGUGGGAGAGGUAGACGGUACUCGGUAGGAAGGGGUAAAAUCCUUUGACCUAUUGAUGACCACCUGUGGCGAAGGCGGUCUACCAGAACACGUCCGACGGUGAGGGAUGAAAGCUGGGGGAGCAAACCGGAUUAGAUACCCGGGUAGUCCCAGCUGUAAACUAUGCAAACUCAGUGAUGCAUUGGCUUGUGGCCAAUGCAGUGCUGCAGGGAAGCCGUUAAGUUUGCCGCCUGGGAAGUACGUACGCAAGUAUGAAACUUAAAGGAAUUGGCGGGGGAGCACCACAAGGGGUGAAGCCUGCGGUUCAAUUGGAGUCAACGCCGGA